AGCGUGUGCGCGAGUCAUUGGGUUAUAAACCUAAAGGCGGAAUGAAAGUGAAGGCUUCCGAGGGAGGAUCGGCGUUCUGUCUCCAACAGGCGGCGCCGCGCACUCCCGGGGCGUCUCUUUCUCGUUCGAGUGGAGGCGCACCUAUAGCGCACACGCUGAUACCCGAAAGAUGGUGAACUAUGCCUGGCCAGGACGAAGCCAGGGGAAACCCUGGUGGAGGUCCGCAGCGAUUCUGACGUGCAAAUCGAUCGUCGGAGCUGGGUAUAGGGGCGAAAGACCAAUCGAACCAUCUAGUAGCUGGUUCCCUCUGAAGUUUCCCUCAGGAUAGCUUGCGCUCGGGGUGACGAGUCUCAUCCGGUAGAGCGAAUGAUUAGAGGCCUUGGGGUCGAAACGACCUCAACCUAUUCUCAAACUCCAAAUAGAUGAGAUCCCCGGCUUGCUUGAAAGUGAAGCCGGGACUCGGAUCAGAGUGCCAAGUGGGCCAAUUUUGGUAAGCAGAACUGGCGCUGUGGGAUGAACCAAACGCAGAGUUAAGGCGCCUGAAUCGACGCUCAUGUGAAACCAUGAAAGGCGUUGGUUGCUUAAGACAGUAGGGCGUCCGCC
rnacentral:rRNA from 2 species